rnacentral:rRNA from 1 species
UACAGAGGUCCCGAGCGUUGUUCGGAUUCACUGGGCGUAAAGGGUGCGUAGGUGGUGAGGUAAGUCGGAUGUGAAAUCUCCAAGCUCAACUUGGAAACUGCAUUGGAAACUACCUUGCUAGAGGAUUUGAGGGGGGAUUGGAAUACUUGGUGUAGCAGUGAAAUGCGUAGAUAUCAAGUGGAACACCAGUGGCGAAGGCGAAUCCCUGGAAAAUACCCGACACUGAGGCACGAAAGCUAGGGGAGCAAACAGG